rnacentral:rRNA from 1 species
UACGAAGGGGGCUAGCGUUGCUCGGAAUCACUGGGCGUAAAGCGCACGUAGGCGGGUCUUUAAGUCAGGGGUGAAAUCCUGGAGCUCAACUCCAGAACUGCCUUUGAUACUGAAGAUCUUGAGUUCGGGAGAGGUGAGUGGAACUGCGAGUGUAGAGGUGAAAUUCGUAGAUAUUCGCAAGAACACCAGUGGCGAAGGCGGCUCACUGGCCCGAUACUGACGCUGAGGUGCGAAAGCGUGGGGAGCAAACAGG